rnacentral:lncRNA from 1 species
CUGCUAGCAGCGAGAAUAUAACCAUGCUAUGUCUGUAGAGAGAGCACAUUAGAUGGCACAAAGAGUGGACCUGAUGUUGUGGGAAUCACCAUGCAGCACCAGGUGAAAGCAACUAAGGGUUUCCAGCGUCGAGAGCAACAGUGUGAACGUGGCCACGCCUCCAGCCUCCCUGUCAGCUGAUUCCCGCUCUCAAGUGGUCAAGGCCCCGUGAAGUGCAGACCAGCACAGAAACACAGUAAAUACAGGGAGCCUGCCCACAUUUGCCUACACCCAAAGAAUCCAGAAGCUCAUCUAUGCCUCUGUUUAGGCGGUUCCACGUUCUGACUCCACCAGGCACAGGACUCUCAUUUGCUCAAAAAACCACAGUGCACAUGGAUCUGAAAAGUCAGCAGUAGCUUGAGAACUUGGAAGGAGAACAGAGAUGUGUAAAGCGUCAACUGGAAAAGAGAUGGUGCAUACUGCACAGAAGCUGAUCACAUGUGGAUUAAAUGAAAGAAACAUCAGAUGGCUGGUCUUGCAAAGCUGAAGGCAGGCCAUUGACCCAGGAGUUGGUCUGAGCUUCUGGCAGAAGCAGCCAUUGUCCUGGAAAGUCGAAAUGAGGAACAAAAAGUCUGAAGUCCUGAAAAUGAUACACAUUGCAGCCUCUUUGCCUUUCUUUUACUUCCUUUAUUGUUCUCACCUCAUCAUGAAUUAGAAUGUAAUGCAGGAGCAGCAUGACAGAUCUUGCCCACUGAGCCACUAAAGGAAAAGAAAUUACAAAAUUUUUAAAUGAAAAAUCAUGAAUAAGUAAAGCAAGAGACUAUUUCUCUCUGACAUAGCAGCCUGCCCUCACUGCCCUGCAUUCUCAGAGGGAGAUGGAGACAGAGACAGAGGAAUGAAGAAGCCCAAUGGAAUCCACUCACUGAUAAACAACCAAAGGUCAUUAGUUUCUGUAACAUAAGCUUCUAAUGAGACACAUCAUCAUCACUGAAUCCCCUGUGCCCAGCUCAGAAACCUCAAGCACAACAAGUGUUCAAUAGUUUAAGUAAAAGAGUUGAAUAGUAAAAUCUGUUCUUGGCAACAUAAAAAUUAUGUGCCUACUGAAGGUGAAAUGAUUGCCGUUGGGUAAUUCCUCCACCUCCUUAGACGAAAGAAAUGUUUGCUCUCAGCACCUGAGGGCUGUUGACAUUUUUGAUACCUGGGGACUGAGUCAGGAGAGCAGGAGGUCACCACUGAGGACUGAGGUCCUUCACGCAAACACUUUAGGAGCAAGGGUGACGGUCCUGAAGGAUAAAUUAUUUUGCCAACACGGAAAUAAACCCCUCCACAGAAAAUAAAUCCUCAGGAUUGAAGUCCUCAGGCUGUGGUGAGCCUGCCCUCAGUUCUUGAGUCCAGGAGAGUUCAGGAUGAGGCCUCUGUCACUGGGGAGGAGCUGUGAUGUG